CCCUAUCUCUAGUUGCCAUCAUUGAGUUGGGCACUCUAAAGAGACUGCCGGUGUCAAACCGGAGGAAGGUGGGGAUGACGUCAAGUCCUCAUGGCCUUUAUGACCAGGGCUACACACGUACUACAAUGGCCGGUACAAAGGGCAGCGACACAGCGAUGUGAAGCGAAUCCCGAAAAGCCGGUCUCAGUCCGGAUUGGAGUCUGCAACUCGACUCCAUGAAGUUGGAAUCGCUAGUAAUCGCGGAUCAGCACGCCGCGGUGAAUACGUUCCCGGGCCUU
rnacentral:rRNA from 1 species